rnacentral:rRNA from 1 species
UGGGGAAUAUUGCACAAUGGGCGCAAGCCUGAUGCAGCCAUGCCGCGUGUAUGAAGAAGGCCUUCGGGUUGUAAAGUACUUUCAGCGGGGUGGAAGGGAGUAAAGUUAAUACCUUUGCUCAUUGACGUUACCCGCAGAAGAAGCACCGGCUAACUCCGUGCCAGCAGCCGCGGUAAUACGGAGGGUGCAAGCGUUAAUCGGAAUUACUGGGCGUAAAGCGCACGCAGGCGGUUUGUUAAGUCAGAUGUGAAAUCCCCGGGCUCAACCUGGGAACUGCAUCUGUUACUGGCAAGCUUGAGUCUCGUAGAGGGGGGUAGAAUUUCAAGUGUAGCAGUGAAAUGCGUAGAGAUCUGGAGGAAUACCGGUGGCGAAGGCGGCCCCCUGGACAAAGACAGACGCUCAGGUGCGAAAGCGUGGGGAGCAAACAGG